rnacentral:tRNA from 1 species
GGCUCGUUGGUCUAGGGGUAUGAUUCUCGCUUUGGUGAGAGACGUCCCGGUUCAAAUCCCAGACGAGCCC